rnacentral:tRNA from 1 species
GCGGAAAUAGCUCAGUGGUAGAGCGUCUCNNCUCCUUGCCAAGGAGAAGGUCGCGGGUUCGAUACCCGUUUUCCGCUCCA